UUUCUUUUUUGUUUUAGAUUUCCACUGUGCACUCUCGGAGGCCGUUGACCGUCUUCCUCCAUGGGGGACUUAGAAAUUUCCAUAGGAUACCAUAGGAGCGCGGACUAACGAAUAUUUUACGCAAGAUCAAUGUUGUAUCGUUCUUAUUUUCCACUUUCUAUACUAUUCUUUUUGUUUUAGAUUUCCACUGUGCACUCUCGGAGGCUCUUGACCGUCUUCCUCCAUGGGGGACUUAGAAAUUUCCAUAGGAUGCCAUAGGAGCGAGGACUAACGAAGAUUUUACGCAAGUACAAUGUGUUACACUCACAUUUUCGUAUUUCUAUACUGUUUCUUUUGUUUUAGAGUACUUUCUGUGCUUUCCGAGGGUCUUUGCGAUCUAUCUCCACGAGAGGACUUAGAAAUUUUCGGAUCUUCGGGGGACUUUGAAAAUCUAUCUCCACGAGAGGACUUAGAAAUUUUCGCAUCUUUGGGGGACUUUGAAAAUCUAUCUGCACGAGAGGACUUAGAAAUUUUCGGAUCUUCGGGGGACUGAAAAUCUAUCUGCACGAGAGGACUUAGAAAUUUUCGGAUCUUCGGGGGACUUUGAAAAUCUAUCUGCACGAGAGGACUUACAAAUUUUCGCACCUUUGGGGGACUUUGAAAAUCUAUCUGCACGGGAGGACUUAGAAAUUUUCGUACCUUCGAGUGACUUUGAUAAUCUAUCUCCACGAGUGGACUUAGGAAUUUUCGCAGGAUGCCGUAUUCGAGCGAGUAUUAACGAAGACUUAAAAACUUCGUUGCAAUCGCGCGCGUUGCAAUGAUGUAAUCGAGUGUUAGUAUCGCUAAAAUAAAUUUAUCGCGAAGUAGAAGCAGUGUUUGUUCGUUCGCGGUUCGCGAUUUAAACCAUAAGUGUUUUUGCAUAGACUGCGUGCAAUGCAGUCCUUAGAGUCAGUGUUUGUUCGCGUAGUUUUUUGAUUUUUUAACAGUCGCACAGACUGUACUUGUAAAAUAUAGUAGAGUUGCGUUAAGUAAAAUCAGUGACCGUUCGUUAAUAUGUAACUACCGCGAAUUAGAGUCAGUGCAUCACUGAAGAGGAUCUCGACCAACUUCGAUGUCGACCUACCUCAUGUUCAACCAACUACAAAUCGUCCACUCUCAAUUUCGACCUAAAUCUCGGUCCAGUGUUUUGGAGCCAUCGCAGAACUUCUUAAGUAGUAAGUUAAUUUUUAAGUCCCUCCGUUGACUCAGUCAUGUCGAGGACGAAAGGUCCGAAUCGGCACGAGUGAUUGCUUGUAGUUAAUACGUAAAAGAGCAUUGAGUGACUACUAGGAAAUUUCUUUUUAUUUUUCGUUUCAGAAUGGCUUUUGAGUUUCGUUAGAUUGAUUAGUUUUCUUAUUAGUUUUCGAAUAAGGGUAGUUAGUUAUGUUCUAUAGUAGUUGCUUGGGCAUGAAGCAAAGAAGAAGUUGUAUGCUGUAAAGGUCUUUACAUACUGUGGCUCAAGAGGGCAACUAUUAGAUUAUUGAGUUAUUUUCGAUGGUUCGACAAAUUAGUCUAAUUGGAUAUAUUUUAAUUUCUAUGUGGUCACUCAAAAUGCUCUUAUUUAAUAAUAAUUUUGAUUUCAGAUACUCCAACGACAUAACUCUCCAUCUUCCAUUCCACAUUGUCACGUGUACGGGAAAGGAAUUGUUACAUAUUUCAUUCAUUUUUAGUAUUAAAGUCGAAUAGUAAAUUUUUCUUUUCUUUACAUUUUCUUUUUUAAAGUUCAAUCAAAUUUCUAAUAUCUUAUUUUUACAAAAUCAAAUUCUAUAUUCAAAUCAUAGCUACGAAAUGUAUAAGAUACUAUAAUUGUUGGGAUUACUAAAAAUGCGUUGAAUAAAAGUCCAUAUAGGAUUGAAACAAGUUCACAGAGGUUGAAGGCAAGUUCUUUCUUUCUUUCGCGCGUUAUAAGAAGAGAAUAUUCGUUUAAAUUUGGAUCGGGAAUUUUUCAUUUUGAUUUUCUCUUAUAAAUUUAAAUUGAAUUAAAUUCAGGAUUUCAUUUUUCGUAAGUAAUAUAUAUAUAUAUAUAUUCGUAUAUAAAAUAUGAAAUCACUGCUUAUGAUGAGAAGAACUGUAUGUAAUAGUUUCAACUUCAAAUUAUUCUAAAUUAAUUUUUCUAGUUUAAUUACUUAAGUUUCUCUCGGGUGGGACCCUUUGGAGGGGCCUUAGGGUGUGGGCCUUUGAGCGGGUUACUGUUACAGUAUCUUAUAAAGCUUCUUUCCUCUUCUUCUUUCUUUUAUCUUUUCUCUCUUUUCUUUUUCUUCUUCUCGUCUCCUUUAAUUUUUUUUCUGUUUCAGGUUAGAUGAUGAAGGAAGCAAUCAUCGAGGGACCGAUCAUCGUGAAGUUUACUUAUUGAUUUAUUAUAUAUUUCUUUUAAUCAUAUAGGUUUAUAUUAAUCAUAUACAUUUUUAUUAAUUUAAUAUGAUAAAAUAAGUUUUCUGUUUAUAAUAUGUAUGCAUGUCUAUUUAUCGAAACUCAUUUCUAUAUAAUAAUUGAAGGAAUUAUUCGAGAUUGUGUUAGUUUUUCUCGGGUGGGACCCUUGGGAGGGGCCCUUGGGUGUGGGCCUUUGUGCGGGUUACCGUCUUAGGAUCUUGUAAAGAAGCUCUUUCCUCUUUUGAUUUUCUUCUUCUUCUUUUUCUGCACUUUAUCUUGUUUUUUUUUUGUCUUUUAAUCUUUUUCUGUUUCAGGUUAGAUCAUCGAGAGACCGAUCAUCGAGGCAUGGAUCAUCGAGGCAUGGAUCAUCGAGGGAAUGAUCAUCGUGAAAUUUAUCUCUUGACUGAUUAUACAUUUCUAUUUAUUCUACGCAUUUCUAUUUAUUCCACACAUUUCGACUUCUAUUUAUUAUAAGUAUUUCUAUUUAUGUAACAUGCUUAUAUUUAUUAUAAGCAUAUUUAUUAUAAUAUAUGCAUUUUUAUCGAUUA